rnacentral:rRNA from 1 species
UCCCUUGUGGCUUGNUGNGGGNGAUCAAGGUCGGCGCGCUCCGNNUUUGGUGACUCUGGAUAACUCACUGGUCGAUCGCACGGGCUUCACGCCCGGCGANGGGUCCCUCGAGGGUCCGCCCUAUCAACUG